GACGAACGCUGGCGGCGUGCUUAACACAUGCAAGUCGAACGAUGAAGCCGGAGCUUGCUCUGGUGAAUUAGUGGCGAACGGGUGAGUAACACGUGAGUAACCUGCCCUUGACUCUGGGAUAACUGCGGGAAACUGUAGCUAAUACCGGAUACGACCCUCGGAGGCAUCUCCUGGGGGUGGAAAGAAUUUCGGUCAAGGAUGGACUCGCGGCCUAUCAGCUAGUUGGUGAGGUAAAGGCUCACCAAGGCGACGACGGGUAGCCGGCCUGAGAGGGCGACCGGCCACACUGGGACUGAGACACGGCCCAGACGCCUACGGGAGGCAGCAGUGGGGAAUAUUGCGCAAGGGGCGAAAGCCUGACGCAGCAACGCCGCGUGGGGGAUGACGGCCUUCGGGUUGUAAACCGCUUUCGGCAGGGAAGAAGCCGCAAGGUGACGGUACCUGCAGAAGAAGCACCGGCUAACUACGUGCAGCAGCCGCCGUAA
rnacentral:rRNA from 1 species